AUAAUUAUCUGGCAAGGAAUACACCAGGAUCAUGAAGGUGAUUUUCCCAGGGUGAAGCUUAUCCGUUGCACUCCGGAUGUGCCCUGCCGGUUUCCCCAAAUGUGGGAAACUUUACUGCAUAAUUUGUGGUACAAAC
ensembl:snRNA U1 U1 spliceosomal RNA